rnacentral:rRNA from 1 species
GUAGGGAAUUUUGGACAAUGGGCGAAAGCCUGAUCCAGCCAUGCCGCGUGCAGGAUGAAGGCCUUCGGGUUGUAAACUGCUUUUGUACGGAACGAAAAGACUCUGGUUAAUACCUGGGGUCCAUGACGGUACCGUAAGAAUAAGCACCGGCUAACUACGUGCCAGCAGCCGCGGUAAUACGUAGGGUGCAAGCGUUAAUCGGAAUUACUGGGCGUAAAGCGUGCGCAGGCGGUUAUAUAAGACAGAUGUGAAAUCCCCGGGCUCAACCUGGGAACUGCAUUUGUGACUGUAUAGCUAGAGUACGGCAGAGGGGGAUGGAAUUCCGCGUGUAGCAGUGAAAUGCGUAGAUAUGCGGAGGAACACCGAUGGCGAAGGCAAUCCCCUGGGCCUGUACUGACGCUCAUGCACGAAAGCGUGGGGAGCAAACAGGAUUAGAAACCCUAGUAGUCC